AAUGGAGCAGAGACUGGAGCAGAGACAAGUUGUUCCCACUGAGCUCUCCUCAGAUUACAGAUUGGUGAUACAUCACAGGGGCUCAUGAAUGUGUCUUAAGCUGGGUCAUUGAAGUGGAAUGUUUUCACAAGACCUCCUCCACUUGCUACUGUGUCCGGAAUUGGUGGGUUCUUGGUCUCACUGACUUCAAGAAUGAAGCCGCGGACCCUCGCGGGAGUGGCAAAUCAAAGGCAUUGCAGCCUCUUUCAUCACUGCCGAUUGCUGAUGCCAACCAUGUGCCAAGUGCUUAAUACGUCACCUUAAAUCUUCUCAUCCACCCUCAGAGUAGCUGCAGCAUCAACCCAGUGCCCUGACUUUCAAGACGACUAUGAAAACACCCCAACUGCUGCUAAAUUACCAGCAACAAGGAUCUGGAAUUUUCCUGACAAGAGCAGUGCCUAUCCUGAGGCAAUCGUAUUUCUCCUUGACUUCUCUCCAGUAUCAGCUUGUUGCUUGACACCCCUGCACAGCCAACUGUGUAAUGUGGAUGGCCGGUUUGACACAAAUUAGAACAACCUUGAUAGCUGUCAACUGGAGACUAUCUGAGAACAAAAGGACAUUAUUGCAAACCAGCACUGGAGUUUGCAGCAUCACAGAAAAUGAUGCUCUCUCCUGCCAAGUCCCAUUUUUUGGGAGGAGGAAAUGGAUUAGGUCCUGGAGGUUGUCAUAAAUGCAUCAAGUGACUUUCUCAGCAUCAUCUGAAACAAUUGAAGAUCCUAAAAAAAUGAUAGCAGCUUUUAAGAAGGACUAUAGUGGAACAAGCAAUAUUCUAAGUGACAAGAGACACAGAUUCUAGAAUAAACUUAGCCAAAUAUGUAUGAACUCGAACAAUCUCCUUUGCCUCUCCAGGUUUUAAUUUCCCCAUCUUUACAAUGGAAGCAAUGACAACAGCAGCAUGCAGCUAGUUUGGAGAUUUUGAAGUCAGAUUGGCUAUUUAGCAUUAACCCACCAUGGUGCUGGUUGAUCUUGCUAGAUACAAAUCUGUCAUAAGUGAAAGCAUCUUGACGGUGUCUUGGAAGCUGACUGGAAAAAUACUGCUUUUAGCAGUACCUUUAAAGCAACAGGAGCUUUUCUGCAUUGCAUAGAGACAGAAUGAGCUUUGUGUAAACUGUGCUGUAGCCACGUUAUUCUGAAAGCCCAUUGGGAAGAUGCCAAUAGUAAUUCAGCUCAAAUAAUCUCUAUUAGCCAUAACCCUUUUGGUUGCAAGAGACAAAAACAUGACUGAAAUUAUUUUCGGCUAGAAGGAUCGAGGAGACUUGCAGCAUAGCUUUGAGAACAGCUGAAAUUAAAGACAUGAAUGC
rnacentral:lncRNA from 1 species